CCCUUAGAUGUUCUGGGCUGCACGCGCGCUACACUGAAGCUAUCAACACGUUUUCCCUCCCUGAGAAGGGCGGGUAACCUUUUGAAUCAGCUUCGUGGUAGGGAUCGGGGCUUGCAAUUGUUCCCCGUGAACCAGGAAUUCCUAGUAGACGCGAGUCAUAAGCUCGCAUCGAUUAAGUCCCUGCCCUUUGUACACACCGCCCGUCGCACCUACCGAUUGAAUGGUCCGGUGAAGCCUCCGGAUUGGCGCGCACCUCGGUGCCGCCGAGAAGUUGGCUAAACCUUACCAUUUAGAGGAAGGUGAAGUCGUAACA
rnacentral:rRNA from 1 species